rnacentral:rRNA from 1 species
UACGGGGGGGGCAAGCGUUGUUCGGAAUUACUGGGCGUAAAGGGCGCGUAGGCGGCCUGCUAAGUCGGAUGUGAAAUCCCUCGGCUCAACCGAGGAACUGCAUCCGAUACUGGCGGGCUUGAAUCCGGGAGAGGGAUGUGGAAUUCCAGGUGUAGCGGUGAAAUGCGUAGAUAUCGUAAGGAAGACCAGUGGAGAAGGCGAAUCUCUGGACAGUUACUGACACUGAGGCACGAAGGCCAGGGGAGCAAACGGG